GGCCUCCCAAUUCUUACCACAGGCUGUGUUCUUUACACUGACUGUAUUGAAAGAGAAGGUAAAUGCACCCCAUAUACACUUCAACCCAGGCUCUUUGCCUGGUCUGUAUUGUGAAUUUGGACAAAAAA